CCUCCAUCGUCCAUCUCUAUAAAAGGGAAAGGAAAUAGGUUGUCUUGUGACAGUCAAGGUGGGGAGGUUGUCUCUCCUAAUCAUUGCUGACAAGAUUCUUGCCAGAGUCCUCUUUAAUAGGCUGAUCCUUCGGCUGCAAGAGGAUCAUCAACCAGAGAACCAAUAUGGCUUCAGAAACCCUGAAGAAUGGUCAAUAUGGUGUCUGCUGCCGGAAAACUCCAGGAGAAAUGCCAGGAGCAGAACAGAGCAUCUGAAGCUGAGAUGCACCAAAGCAUGGAUCAGUUCUCUACUCCUUAACAACAACAAGAAAAUACAGGUCAUGCUAUGGAGAAUUCCAUUGGAAGGAGACAAAUACUUCCUCAUUCAACACAGUAACAAAAGUAAUAUGGAGAUAGAAGAGGGAUUUCUAGAAAAGACAGAUAACAAUAAGCAGCAUGCCAAGUUUAACCUUCAAUAAAUGAUGCCAUUUUCAACUACUUAAGCCAAAGAAAAAAAAGAAAAGAAGAAAGGAAGAAAAAGAUAAAAAGAACAAAAAGAAAGGAAGGAAGGAAGGAAGGAAGGAAAAAAUUGUGAUGCCGAUCAACAUAAGGAUCAACCAUGAUUCCAGUGUGCUGA